rnacentral:rRNA from 1 species
UACGUAGGGGGCUAGCGUUGUCCGGAAUCAUUGGGCGUAAAGCGCGUGUAGGCGGUUCGGUAAGUCCGCUGUGAAAGUCGGGGGCUCAACCCUCGAAUGCCGGUGGAUACUGUCGGGCUAGAGUGCGGAAGAGGCGAGUGGAAUUCCUGGUGUAGCGGUGAAAUGCGCAGAUAUCAGGAGGAACACCGGUGGCGAAGGCGGCGACCUGGGUCGAGACUGACGCUGAGGCGCGAAAGCGUGGGAGCAAACAGG